rnacentral:rRNA from 1 species
UGAGGAAUAUUGGUCAAUGGGCGGAAGCCUGAACCAGCCAAGUCGCGUGAGGGAAGACGGUCCUAUGGAUUGUAAACCUCUUUUGCCGGGGAGCAAAGCCGGGCUCGUGAGCCCGGAAGGAGAGUACCCGGAGAAAAAGCAUCGGCUAACUCCGUGCCAGCAGCCGCGGUAAUACGGAGGAUGCGAGCGUUAUCCGGAUUUAUUGGGUUUAAAGGGUGCGUAGGCGGGGUAUCAUUAAGUCAGCGGUAAAAAAGUGCGGGGGCUCAACCCCGUAGUGCCGUUGAAACUGAGGUUCUUGAGUGGGCGAGAAGUAUGCGGAAUGCGUGGUGUAGCGGUGAAAUGCAUAGAUAUCACGCAGAACUCCGAUUGCGAAGGCAGCAUACCGGCGCCCAACUGACGCUGAGGCACGAAAGCGUGGGGAUCGAACAGGAUUAGAUACC